UGGGGAAUUGUUCGCAAUGGGCGCAAGCCUGACGACGCAACGCCGCGUGGAGGAUGAAGAUCUUCGGGUCGUAAACUCCUGUCGAAUGGGACGAACGGAUCGCGUGUGAACAACGCGUGAUCGUGACGGUACCGUUAAAGGAAACCCCGGCUAACUCCGUGCCAGCAGCCGCGGUAAUACGGGGGGGUAAGCGUUGUUCGGAAUUACUGGGCGUAAAGGGCUCGUAGGCGGCCAACUAAGUCAGACGUGAAAUCCCUCAGCUUAACUGGGGAACUGCGUCUGAUACUGGAUGGCUUGGAUCCGGAAGAGGGAUGCGGAAUUCCAGGUGUGGCGGUGAAAUGCGUAGAUAUCUGGAGGAACACCGGUGGCGAAGGCGGCAUCCUGGGCCGGUAUUGACGCUGAGGAGCGAAAGCCAGGGGAGCAAACGGGAUUAGAUACCCCGGUAGUCCUGGCCCUAAACGAUGAAUGCUUGGUGUAGCGGGUAUCGAUCCCUGCUGUGCCGAAGCUAACG
rnacentral:rRNA from 1 species